rnacentral:rRNA from 1 species
CCUACGGGAGGCAGCAGUGGGGAAUAUUGCGCAAUGGGCGAAAGCCUGACGCAGCGACGCCGCGUGAGGGAUGAAGGUCUUCGGAUCGUAAACCUCUGUCAGCAGGGAAGAACGGUCACUGUGCUAAUCAGCAGUGAAUUGACGGUACCUGCAAAGGAAGCACCGGCUAACUCCGUGCCAGCAGCCGCGGUAAUACGGAGGGUGCGAGCGUUAAUCGGAAUUACUGGGCGUAAAGCGCUCGUAGGCGGUAUGUCAAGUCAAGGGUGAAAUCCCCGCGCUCAACGUGGGAACUGCCUUUGAAACUGGCAAACUGGAGUGUUGGAGAGGAUAGUAGAAUUCCAGGUGUAGGGGUGAAAUGCGUAGAGAUGUGGAGGAACACCGGUGGCGAAGGCGACUACCUGGAACAUAACUGACGCGCAGGAGCGAAAGCGUGGGUAGCAAACAGGAUUAGAUACCCGAGUAGUC